GACGGCAAGAGGCAUCUUGAUUUUCUGGUGCUUCAUCCUGUCCAAGUUGUACAUGUGCUUUGCGUGGAGGUAGUACUCGUAGUCACUGUGUCCUCCUCCCAUCCUCUUCACUCCUGUUGAGUGGAAUCCCCUGUUUGCUGUUGCAAUAGAAUUACAAAGAUAUCAGUACAUUGAAUUUGAAUCCAAAAACGUUUGAUUGAAUUACAUCGAACCUAGUACACUAGACUGAUAAAUAUAAGGUACUUAAGGGUCUAGAAAAGAAACGAGGUACGAACAGAUUCAGGAUGGCGGUACAUUAGUUACUUUAUGUAAUUAUAUUUUGAAUAUGCAGGCAUCAAAAUUAGAGAACGAUCAGGAAAGUUAAGGAACCGGGGUUCAUAAGUAAGUGACAUGUAAAAAUACUGGACGGGUUACCUGGACAGUCAAAUCGAACCACGAAAUGUAGGCAUUCGAUCCAUGACUACCAAAAAAGGUAACCUAAGCAGUAACAUGACCUUAGUAUGGGAAAGAGAUCAGGAAGUAUAUGAAAAGGAGUCAGGCCCUAGUGAAAGAAUAUGAAAUGGUGUCGAAUGGUUCUACCAAAAUGACGCUUACCCAGAUAAGGGAAUUGCAGUGAGCUUAAGAAACUACUAUUAGCAUCAUAUUUAGUUGCUAGCGAAGAACAUUAUCAAUUUCAACCAUGACAGAGGCCUUAAUUCUUAAUAACCAGCCCAAGCCAUAAGCCUAGAGACCCAAAAGAAUAAACACGCAUUAUUAACCAAUCGAAAUGUGUAUCCCAUGAAUCACUGAACUCAAGUAUUAUCUAAAGACUACACUGUAUGAUCAUUUCCAAUCAAAGUUACUACCUUCAUAAAAAUGAAAAAUCAUGACUCUUCCAACAUUUUUCAUCUCAAUUGACACCGUACCUGACUAGGAUUAUUCAAAAUCCACAUCAUACCACUCUGGAUAUGCAAUCAUCAAAGAACCCAUUGGAUCCUAAUGACUCUUUACACAAUCACCACAAACCCUAACGACCGCCGGAGCUGGCGAAUCGCCUAAUCGGCAAUCGACAAACGCCGUCACCGUCAAUUAGAUCCAUGCAUCAAACAAAUACAAGAACAUAAAACGGAUAUAUCCAGCUCAACUACCGAUACGUCAAGCCAAAAGGACUAUAACGUCGACUCCGCUAUGUUUCCCGCAUUUUUUCAUCGGCAGCUAAACGAUCUCAACUAAUGAAACAAAAGAGCAAAGCUGAAUCGAAUCAGAAACCAACCUGAUUUGGACAGGAGAAAUUCAGAGGCAGCGACGAGCCUUGAGGCGGAUCUUAGACCGGCGUUCAUUGCCAUGGCUUUUUGAUCGGCGACGUAGUGGGAGGAAGCUCGAUGGGAUUUGAUAGCUUUCGAGAAGAGGAUCAAGCUGAAACUAAAAGGAGUAUAUUGUUUAUAAAUUGUUCACAGUUGCAGAAUAACUGGGCCUUGGGCCUUCGGCUGAAGGCUUUUGUGUGUAUUUCUCCACGCAAGUUCACCGGCCUAGUGGCCCAAUCUAUCCAUGCAACUCACCAACAAAUCUAUCCAUGCAACUCAUGUAGUUUACUUUUCUGUUUGCCUUCUUCGUUGGCCUACUUUGUUUCUUCCGACCACGACGACGACGAAUUAAGAAUCGAAACAUACAUUAAGUAAGAUUUUAAUCAAAAUUUGUGUAUUGAAUAAAGAAUACAUUUUUAUAACUAAGUAAAAUAUACAAAAAUGAAUAUUUGUUUUUCUAUUUUUAGUUAGAGAAGUUGUUCUUAAAGAUAUAAUGUGUUCCGGAAGAAAUUUUUUCUAAUCAAGUAAUAAUAAAUACGAAUGCUGAUUUGAAAUUAUGAUUAAAAUAUAUUGAGUACUGAACCGAAACAAUAAAGUAUUAAAUUGAAUCUAAAAUUACCUUAAACCGAACUCAAUCAAGAUAAUUAUAAAUAUAUAUGAAUUUACGGCUCAAGGCUGAGAUUACUCCCCAGGCACCCCUACAUCCGCCCCUUGCUUCUGAGUCCCUUUUUUGGAAACGUAACUGGGAACAUGACAGACUUUGAUAUGUUGAUACCAACGAUAAUAGAAUUCUUCCAAAAAACUAGUUUGACUUGUUAAUUUGAACUCAACCAAAAUCACAAACAAAUUUUUCGCAACCAACCGAUGAGUGAUUCGCAAGAGGCUUGACUUGACUAAUGACUCGUGAACAUCGAACAACACAAUUACUACUUUCCUUACCUAAAUAAGGGAAUCCAAGUCAUUAAAUACAAAAUUCAUUACACUUCGACCCAAAAAAAUGUAAUAUAAACCAAUUCAUUCAUAUUUGGAUAAUAUUCUGUAGCUAUUAGGCUACCAUAAUAUUAUUUUUACCCAAAAAUAUUAAGUCAGUUAGAAUAUUUUCAAAACAUUAACAAAACACAAAAAAAUAGCUUUUAACUUAAUUUUACUAUUAUUUAAAGAGGUUAAUAUAGUAAAACUUAAUUUUUUAUCCAUUUUCAACAUUGCAUGUCAAAUAUUAAUCGAUUUAAAAAAUUUGAAAUUUUUAUGUGAAAAUGACCCAUUUCCAUAGGUUAACCCUUUUGAAAAUGGACCAUUUUGACAUUAAAAUUUUUAAUUUUUCAAAUUGAUUAAUAUUUGACAUACAUAUUUGAAAUGACUAAAAAUUAAGGUUUUAUCAUAUUAAACCCUUCAAAUAAUAACCAAAUGAACAUCUUCUUCCUCCUUCUGGUCACAUUCUUCGUGAUCGCGAGUAAAACAUUUCGAACUAUUCUCCUCAAUUCGUUAUCUCAAAAUACAAUCCUGAUCCUUUUAUUCAAUCGACAUACUUCCCAGUUUCGUCUUUCUUCUCUUCUUAUAUCAAAUAGGAAAUGAAAUGUCGAGAGCUUGGACGCCCCAGGGGAGUGUAGGCUCUGGUGCUUGUUGGUGAAUGUGAACCAUCAACUUGUGUUUGUUACGUCAAUCCUUGUUGAUUUAGGUAUUGGUGUAACACAACUUAAUUGUUGGAAUAAUAUACAUAAUUAACCAAUAAUAAUGUCAGAGGUCGGUUAGUAUAUUUUCUGUAGUAUCAGUUUGCUCUUAUCCCGUUUCUACGCUUUAAUUCUUUUUCUAAUAUAAAUUAUGGUACAUUUGCUAUUCAUUUUGAUAUGUUAUCAAAAAAAUUAAUAUGAGUUAUUACAAAUAACCUUUAGGUAGAAUUUAUUUUUGAAAGUUAGUUUGUAAAAAGACACUAUCGAAAUGUUAUAAGCAUAUAUGUCAAUUUCAUAUUGAGUAAUACGAUACUCAACUAAGACUGUAACAUAUCAUCAUAAUUUGGACACCGACGUCUAGUUGGGUUUUCUUUCUCCUAAACAUAAGUCGGAGUGGGGUUAUUGGCGGAACCAGAACAUUUAUCAAGAAGGUUCGAAAUUCUUACUUAACAACAUUUGAUGAAAAACAGCUAGAAAUCCAAAUUAAUUUUUUUAUAACUGAAAGCACAUACAUCCACACUAACAACAAUCAUCAAAACUCUUAAGAAAAUAUUUUUAACUUCAUUUGACUAUUAUUAAAAGGGGUUAACAUGGUGAAACAUUAAUUUUUAGUCAAUUCCAACAUGCAUAUCAAAUAUUAAUCAAUUUGAAAAUUUUCAAUUUUCAUGUCAAAAUUGGUCAAUUUCCAAAGGGGUUAACCUAUGAAAAUUGACUAUUUUCAAAAGAAAAUUUCAAAAUUUUCAAAUCUCCUAAUAUUUGACAUGCAUGUUGAAAAUAACUAAAAAAUCAAGUCUUACUAUGAUAACUCCUGUAAAUAACAGUCAAAUGAAGUUAAAAAUCAAUUUUACUUGGUGUUAUAUUUGUGAUAAAAAUCCGCUGUGUAGUUUAGUAUUAAGGUCAUUAUUAUCUCACCAGGACUUCGAUUGGUACAAGAUCAAAGGAGUCCGAAAGAUAAUCCAGCUACCUUUCUAUUCAUANNNNNNNNNNNNNNNNNNNNNNNNNNNNNNNNNNNNNNNNNNNNNNNNNNNNNNNNNNNNNNNNNNNNNNNNNNNNNNNNNNNNNNNNNNNNNNNNUAAAGGGGUUCGGUCGAAUCUUUACUUCCUUAAUAAUUCUGCCAUUGAGUGGGGUAUAUUUCUAUAACGAUUGUUACAAUUCCUCUAAUAGCUAAAACUUAUCUCGAAAAAGAUAGCUUGUAAGUCAAAAAUGUCUAAAAACUUAGAAAUCCACAUAUCAAAUCGAGCAUAAGAUAAAUCCAAAUCAUUAAAUACAUUAAAUAUAAUAAAAUCCAACUCAUUAAAUACAAAAUUUAUAAGAGAAUCCAUCUCAUUAAAUACAAAACUCGUUACAGUUUGACCCAAAACAAUGUAUGUAAAAGCAAUUCAUUCUAACUUUGGAUAAAUUUAUUUUUGGUAACUAUAAAACUACGAUAGUAUGAAGACCUCCAACAUUUUCCUACUCUUUCUAGUCACAUUCCUCGUCAUCGCCGGUAAAUUUUUCGAAUUUUCUAUAUUCAUUCGAUUCUGAUUUUUCUCAUUCAACCAACGUACUGCUCGGUUUCAUCCUCGUUCGAUCUCUUCGUAUGUCGUGUAGGGAAUGAAGUGGCGACAGCAGGGAGAACCGAAAAACGGGUGUGAGCUCGGGUCGGUCGAAGUGCCAACUCCUUGUGUUGAGGAAGAAUGCAAGAAGCAGUGCUCCUUGAAAUGGGACCCGAACCCGUUUGUUAGCCCGACUGUUGGUGAUACCCUUAAUUAGGCUCUAAACACUUAUCGUUAUGUAAAAUGGGGCCGACUUUAAUAUUAAUUGUUACGAUAAAACUCAUUCUACAAAAUUAAAGAAUAAGUUAUCCAAAAAAUUAUAAAUCUCACGUAUAAAUCUAGUAUUUAGCCGUAUGUUACUCUACUAGGACUGCACACAUAGACCAUCAUAUUUCAAUAGCAAUUUCAUUCUCACCCAACUUAUUUCAAACAUUCUAAUGUAGACAUAUAUGAUAAGUGAUAACAACUUAUUAAUGGAAAACUUAUAUCGGGAUAUGAGCAAUUUAUUUUUCUAUCGAGUCGAGCGUAUCUUUCUUACAAAACUUGUUUCAUUUGAAGCAUAAUCGAGUCAUCAAUGUGGUAAAAGUCGGAUAAAGGAGGAAUAAGGAACGAAUAACAGUGGAAUAACACCAAAAUAACGGCGGAAUAACACCAGAAUAACACUAGCGAUUAAUAUGGUUUCCGACUUUGAGUUCAACUAGUUCAUGCAGAGAAAGGAGAAUAUUAUCAUGGGUUUUUGGUGCGAGUGGCGGCAACAAAGGAGACUAACGCUCCUUAUAUACAUAAGGGUUAACCAUAACAGACCUAACAUAAUAUACAUAAAUAUAACGAACUUUUUCAACCAGACAAUGAACCGUUCACGAGCGACUUGAAUCGUAAACAUAGAACAACACCAUCAUUACCUAAAAAAAAGGAAUCCAAUACAUUAAAUACAAGAGAAUCCAACUCAUUAAAUACAAAAAUCCAUUACACCUUGACCCAAAUCAUUUAUAUAUAUAUAUAGAAAGCAAUUCAUACAUUUUUGGAUAAUAUUUUGUAAUUAUCAAGCUACCAUAGUAUCAAUUUCCCUUUGAACAAGUCAUAAAUUCAUUGGCUACCUUACAAAAAGCAACCAUAAUAUUUCUUCAUUAUAAAUUCAAUCAUAUUCUCAAGAAUUUUUUUGCAACCAAUUCCAUUGAUAUAACGUUCUUUUCCUCUCAAGUUCUUGCAUAAAAUUUUCCUCUCCCUCAAGCCACAUGAAGACCUCCAACAUCUUCCUCCUCUUUCUAGUCACAUUCUUCAUCAUCACCGGUAAAUUUCUCGAAUUCUCUCAAUUUCUGAUCCUAAAAUUCGAUUCGAAUCCCAAAAAAACACUGUUAGAUUGUUUGGCAGGGGUUUUAAUCGUUGUUAUCUAACAAUGCAAACCCCUGUUAAUCAGCGAUUAUUUUGUUGUAUUGAUUUAAUAUUAUUCUCUUCACAUAUGGUAUAGGAAAUGAAGCGGUGACAGCCGCGAGAAUCAACGCCGGUGGAAAGUGUAAGGUCGGAACGGCCGGAGGGCCUCCUCCUUGUGUUCAACAAGCAUGCUACUUUCAGUGCAACUUGAAGUAUGGUAGCCCCGUUACUGGCCAAUGUGAAGGAUCAACUUGUGUUUGUUAUAGCCCUUGUUGAUUUAUGGGUGUUAUGUAAACUUAAUUAAUUGGUUGUUGGAAUAAUAUAUAAUUAAGGAGAACACAUUAGCGUAACUGGCACAUUUUAUUAUAUUUUUGCUAUAUAUUGUGCUUAAAACGACGAGUUUUGAGGUUCUUGUUUAUUAUUUAGGGUUUAGUACAUAGUGGUAAGUGUUUAGAGUCUAAUUAAGAGUUUUAUGAUUGGUUAAUUUAGAUUUAUGGUCAAAAGUUAGAGUUUGGAGUACGAUUAAGGAUAUGAUUUUAUGAUCAAAUGUUUGAGGGUUAGAAUUUAGCGUUUAGGGGUUUAACAUUAU
rnacentral:lncRNA from 1 species